rnacentral:rRNA from 1 species
UUCGGAUUGUAGUCUGCAACCCGACUACAUGAAGCUGGAAUCGCUAGUAAUCGCGGAUCAGAAUGCCGCGGUGAAUACGUUCCCGGGUCUUGUACACACUGCCCGUCACACCAUGGGAGUCGGAAAUGCCCGAAGUCUGUGACCCAACCUGAGAGGGAGGGAGCAGCCGAAGGCAGGUCUGAUGACUGGGGUGAAGUCGUAACAAGGUAAC